CUGCAGCCCGAGUGGUGGUCGAUAUUAUUGAGCCUAAAGCGUCCGUAGCCGGACUAGUAAAUUCUUGGGUAAAUCGGGCAGCUUAACUGUUCGACUUCCGAGGAGACUGCUAGUCUUGGGACUGGGAGAGGUCAGAGGUACUCCAGGGGUAGGGGCUAAAUCCUGUAAUCCUUGGGGGACCACCAGUGGCGAAGGCGUCUGACUAGAACGGAUCCGACGGUAAGGGACGAAACCCUGGGGCGCAAACCGGAUUAGAUACCCGCGUAGUCC
rnacentral:rRNA from 1 species